CUUUUCUCCUUGCUGCGAUUAGACUUUACAAUCAAAGCUGCUCCCAGUUCAUCCCAAAGGUGUUCAGUGGGGUUUCGUUAGGACACACCUCAACCUUAACACACCAUGUGUUCAUGGAACUCUGUGCUUUGGGCACAAGGACAUUAUCAUGCUGAAACAGUCUCUCAGAGAAAAGGGAAAUUAUAAUGCUACAGCAUACAGAGACGUUCUGUACAACUGAGUGAUUCCAACUUUACGGCAACACUUUUGGGAAUAACUACAAAUGGGAACGAUGACCAGGAGUACACAAACUGCUGGCCUUGAAGUGUCCCUGAAAAUUUCACUUACAUAUUCAACUUCAUAUUUCUUUUUUUCUUGGCUGCCACUGGGGAGGAAGUUCUGACUUUCGGCAUCCAAAUCACCGUUCUGACUGCAAUUUAGGGAGAAAAAUACAUAUAUUUUUAUUUUGUAUUGCAUAAUAAUAUGCAAAUAUGAAUAUAUAACAGCAUGCUGAAUAAUUGCUACCUGCUCAAUGGCACUUUCUUGGGGUGAUAGUCAGGGCACUCAAUGCUGUUGGAACUGGAGCUGCUGUCUUCAUCUGGUGAAAUGUUAAAGCGGCUAAUUUCCGCUUUUCCAGGAAUAAUGUCCAUUGUAACAAAUGUCCUAAUGUAAAAAACCUAAAA